rnacentral:misc_RNA from 1 species
CCCCUCGCGGGUUGUGGGGCGGACACGAGGCACGCCCCGUGCUCCCGGCAAGCCUCGCCCAGUCGCUUGGUUGCUUCGGCCCACGGUGUGCUCUGCCCGUUCUCUCGGAUGCAGAACGUUACGCGCGGGCGUGGGGUCUUCCGGCUCUGUUUGCCCAAGCAACGCAUCUGUCCCUCGACGCGAACGACUGYCGUGCCCGUCUUGAGCCUCGCGGCCUCACGGCCCGUCGGGCGUCAUGCGGGCGUCGGCGUCGCGAAG